GCCUACACGGCCGUGCACUGCGUGCGGCUCGAGGACAAGGACCGGCCGGCGAUGGCCAACAUCGUGGCCAACCUGGAGACGGUGUUCGCGCUCUGCGAGGGCAACGCGGGCGGCAGCCGCGGCGCCACCACCGGGGGCGGCUUCGGCAACAGCUCGUCCAGCGCCAGCCUCUCCAUGACGUUCAUGGAGCUGUCGGGAAGGCUCACGGAGUAG
rnacentral:rRNA from 1 species